rnacentral:rRNA from 1 species
CCUACGGGAGGCAGCAGUGGGGGAUAUUGCACAAUGGGGGGAACCCUGAUGCAGCGACGCCGCGUGGGUGAAGAAGCGCCUCGGCGCGUAAAGCCCUGUCAGCAGGGAAGAAAAUGACGGUACCUGAAGAAGAAGCCCCGGCUAACUACGUGACAGCAGCCGCGGUAAUACGUAGGGGGCAAGCGUUAUCCGGAUUUACUGGUUGUAAAGGGGGAGUAGACGGCGAUGCAAGCCAGGAGUGAAAGACCAGGGCCCAACCCCGGGACUGCACUUGAAACUGCGUGGCUGGAGUGCAGGAGGGGCAGGCGGAAUUCCUGGUGUAGCGGUGAAAUGCGGAGAUAUCAGGAGGAACACCAGUGGCGAAGGCGGCCUGCUGGACUGGAACUGACGUUGAGGCACGAAAGCGUGGGGAGCAAACAGGAUUAGAUACCCCAGUAGUC